CUAUUGCCACUUACACUUAUUGCUCUUAAUUCACGUUUUCGUUUCCCCUGUUUCCUCUUUUUUGAUUCCAAACUAGUGUGGUGAUUGUGUGCAAUUGUAUCGUCAGGAGAAGAACAAGUGGGAAGAGACGAUUCUCCAACGAUUUAAGUUCGUGUGUUGCUGUUGCGUGCUUGGGGUUUGAAAGUCGCGUGGGUGGAUUUGCUUAAAAAACGGUCAAGGUGUGUAACAAAAACCUGAGAAAAUAGCGAGUGGCGAAAGCCAAAAUUUUGAAUUGUCGAUGCAACACAGUCGUGUGCCA